GCCUUGGUGAUGUAGUGGUCAACACGCUCGCUUGGUAAUCAAAAGGGCGUGGGUUCAAUCCCAGCCGAGGUA
rfam:Asian citrus Psyllid, Diaphorina citri - Florida Strain, whole genome shotgun sequence.